ensembl:lncRNA TCP10L3 t-complex 10 like 3 (pseudogene)
ACCAGGAUGCUGGAGGGUCAGCUCGAGGCCGGGUAGCCCAAGGAGGGCACCCACCCAGAAGACCCGUGCCCGGGAGCUGGGGCUGCCAUGGAGAAGACACCUGCAGCAGCCGAGGUCCCCAGGGAGGACAGCAAUGCCGGGGAGAUGCCGUCAUUACAGCAGCAGAUCACCAGCCUCCACCAAGAGCUCGGGAGACAGCAGUCGCUGUGGGCUGAUAUUCACAGAAAACUCCAGAGUCAUAUGGAUGCCUUGAGGAAGCAGAACCGGGAGCUCCGAGAAGAGCUGAGAGGCCUGCAGCGGCAGCAGUGGGAAGCCGGGAAGAAACCCGCAGCGUCCCCACACGCGGGGCGAGAAUCACACACUCUGGUACCAAA